rnacentral:rRNA from 1 species
CACGUGGGAACGUGCCCUUCGGUUCGGAAUAACUCAGGGAAACUUGAGCUAAUACCGGAUACGCCCUUUUGGGGAAAGGUUUACUGCCGAAGGAUCGGCCCGCGUCUGAUUAGCUUGUUGGUGGGGUAACGGCCUACCAAGGCGACGAUCAGUAGCUGGUCUGAGAGGAUGAUCAGCCACACUGGGACUGAGACACGGCCCAGACUCCUACGGGAGGCAGCAGUGGGGAAUAUUGGACAAUGGGCGCAAGCCUGAUCCAGCCAUGCCGCGUGAGUGAUGAAGGCCUUAGGGUUGUAAAGCUCUUUUGUCCGGGACGAUAAUGACGGUACCGGAAGAAUAAGCCCCGGCUAACUUCGUGCCAGCA